UACGGGGGGGGCAAGCGUUGUUCGGAAUUACUGGGCGUAAAGGGCUCGUAGGCGGCCAACUAAGUCAGACGUGAAAUCCCUCGGCUUAACCGGGGAACUGCGUCUGAUACUGGAUGGCUUGAGGUUGGGAGAGGGAUGCGGAAUUCCAGGUGUAGCGGUGAAAUGCGUAGAUAUCUGGAGGAACACCGGUGGCGAAGGCGGCAUCCCGGACCAAUUCUGACGCUGAGUGAGCGAAAGCUAGGGGAGCAAACAGG
rnacentral:rRNA from 1 species